rnacentral:rRNA from 1 species
UAACACGGGGGGUGCAAGCGUUAUUCGGAAUUAUUGGGCGUAAAGGGCGCGCAGGCGGUCUUGUCAGUCAGAUGUGAAAGCCCGGGGCUCAACCCCGGAAGUGCAUUUGAAACAGCAAGACUUGAGUACGGGAGAGGAAAGCGGAAUUCCUGGUGUAGAGGUGAAAUUCGUAGAUAUCAGGGGGAACACCGAUGGCGAAGGCAGCUUUCUGGACCGAUACUGACGCUGAGGCGCGAAGGCGUGGGUAGCGAACAGGAUUAGAUACCCUGGUAGUCCACGCAGUAAACGAUGUUCACUAGGUGCAGCGUGUAUUAAAACAUGCUGUGCCGGAGCUAACGCAUUAAGUGAACCGCCUGGGGAGUACGGUCGCAAGACUA